rnacentral:lncRNA from 1 species
AACACUGCCAUCAUUGUCAAUGCUUUCAUGUAGAAGCAAAUCAUCUUCGGAGCUUGACGAAUCAAUAAAAUCAAAGCCGCUCUUUUGCGACAGAUGCG